rnacentral:tRNA from 1 species
AAGUAAUGAAGUAAAAUUUACAAUUAGUUUCGACCUAAAAAUAAGGAUUUAUUCCUCUUACUUU